rnacentral:rRNA from 1 species
AUAGAUGUGGUGGAGCCAGAAGCUGGCCCAUGCCGCCAUCCGGAUUGCCCGCUUGAAAGAGUGGGUGCACCCCGGGUGGUUGCCAAACGCCUUGAGCGAUAUGCGCACAUCGAAUGGCUGCCGAGAAAAGCUCGUCGGGAGAUAACGUGUAAGGGAUCCGUACCUAUACCGACACAGGUGGACGAGGCGAGUAGCCUCAGGUGCUCGAGAUAACUCUGCUUAAGGAACUCGGCAAAUUCACCCCGUAACUUCGGGAGAAGGGGUGCCGGCGUAAGCCGGCCGCAGUGAAUAGGCCCAACCGACUGUUUAUUAAAAACACAGUUCUGUGCGAAGGCGCAAGCCGAUGUAUACGGAAUGAUGCCUGCCCGGUGCUGGAAGGUCAAAGGGAGUGGUCAGCGCAAGCGAAGCUACGAACUCAAGCCCCAGUAAACGGCGGCCGUAACUAUGACGGUCCUAAGGUAGCGAAAUUCCUUGUCGGGUAAGUUCCGACCUGCAUGAAAGGCAUAACGAGUUGGGCACUGUCUCAAGCAGAGACUCGGUGAAAUUGCAAUAUCGGCGUAGAUACCGAUUACCCGCGGCAGGACGAAAAGACCCCGUGAACCUUAACUGCAGCCUGAUGCUGUGUUUCUGUGAUCCGUGCGUAGGAUAGGUGGGAGACGUUGAUCCUCUGGUUCCGGCCAGGGGGGAGUCAUCGGUGAAAUACCACUCUCGGAUCAUGGGAAUUCUGACGUGUGGUGUGCAACCACGCAGACCCCGUCAGGCGGGCAGUUUGGCUGGGGCGGCUUCCUCCCAAAGCGUAACGGAGGAGCACCAAGGUCGGCUCAGUACGGUUGGCAAUCGUACGAGGAGUGCAAGGGCACAAGCCGGCUUAACUGCGAGACCGAUCAGUCGAGCAGAUGCGAAAGCAGGUCCUAGUGAUCCGGUGGUCCCUUGUGGACGGGCCAUCGCUCAACAGAUAAAAGGUACUCCGGGGAUAACAGGCUGAUCUGGCCCAAGAGUCCCUAUCGACGGCCAGGUUUGGCACCUCGAUGUCGGCUCAUCGCAUCCUGGGGCUGGAGAAGGUCCCAAGGGUAUGGCUGUUCGCCAUUUAAAGCGGUACGCGAGCUGGGUUUAAACCGUCGUGAGACAGGUUGGUUUCUAUCCGCCGUGGGCGCUGGACGAUUGACUGGACCUGACAUUAGUACGAGAGGAUUAUGUUGGACGUACCGCUGGUGUACCGGUUGUUCCGCUCGGAGCAGUGCCGGGUAGCUACGUACGGACGGGAUAAACGCUGAAAGCAUCUAAGCGUGAAGCCCACCAGAAGAUGAAUCGUCCCUAUGACUGUCCUGGAAGACCACCA